rnacentral:rRNA from 1 species
AAUAUUUCACAAUGGAGGAAACUCUGAUGCAGCGACGCCGCGUGCGUGAAGAAGGUCUUCGGCUCGUAAAACUCUGUCCUUGGUGAAGAUAAUGACGGUAGCCAAGGAGGAAGCCCCGGCUAGCUACUUGCCAGCAGCCGCGGUAAUACGUAGGGGGCGAGCGUUGUCCGGAUUUACUGGGCGUAAAGGGUGAGUAGGCGGUAAUAUGUGUCAGAUGUAAAAGGCUAAGGCUUAACCAUAGUUAGCAUUUGAAACUGUAUUACUUGAGUGCAGGGGAGGUAAGUGGAAUUCCUAGUGUAGCGGUGAAAUGCGUAGAUAUUAGGGGGAACACCAGUGGCGAAGGCGACUUACUGGACUGUAACUGACGCUGAGUCACGAAAGCGUGGGUAGCAAACAGG